rnacentral:tRNA from 1 species
GCCCGGAUAGCUCAGUCGGUAGAGCAGGGGAUUGAAAAUCCCCGUGUCCUUGGUUCGAUUCCUAGUCCGGGCACCA